UGCUGGGUCCUGACUGCUUCCACAGGGACAUCAGGAGGGUGGCCCUCUUCCUAUUGGCUGCAGGGUCAUAAGUAUCACGUAUUCCACCCUAGUUUCAGCUGCAUAGACGCUGGGAUUAUGUAUCAGUUCUUUAUGGCAAACCUUGCUGGCCACCAUGCUGUCCCUAAGCUGCCAGUCCUUGGCAUUCACCAGCCAGCACCUCCUGUCCUGUGGUGACAAACUCCACUGUGGCAGCCGGACCUGCUUCACAGUGUGGGGUCAGCAGCUGUACUGGGGUUUGCAGAGUAACCUAUGUGCUGCCCUGUCUACCAGCUUUGGCAAAAAGAAAACAGUCCUUUUUUCUCUCUUAUGCAACCACUUAAGCCCAAGCAGUUGUUCUGGGGUUUGUGGUUUUUAUUCAUGACAUUAGUAGCGGAAAAUGACUGUCAUUGCCUCCUUUGGCUUGGGCCUUGUUCCUUUGCAACCCAUAUGAUUGAGAGAAUUUCCCUCUGGGCAAGAAGAAAUGGCAGCAUGGCCAAGCCAUGAAGAGCGGGUGGGCAAUACAAACAUUUCAAAGCCCAGACCAUAUUGAUGUAAAUAUUGCAAGUUUUCUUGGGGAAAGAAUGACCCUAUAUUUUUACAGAUUAUUUUACCAGUAGUCUUAUGUACUGGUUACUUAAUGCUUGAGGUUUGGGGGAGCAUCCUGGCUAGCAGCACCUCAGAAAAAAGAAAACUGAAUGACCAGGUGACUGCGACUGCAUUACAGCAACCAUCUGAGUAAUAUACUCAAAUCUGCAAUCUAUAGAACAAUGAUAAAAUUCUGCCUGCUAAAGCACAGAGAAUUUACAGAACCCUAAAUCCAAACACAGUCAGGAUUUAGGGUUCACUGACAUCCAUUCUCUGAAGUGGGCUGUGUACCCUUCAGUUAGCACACCAUCCCCUAGUUAUGUUAAAUAAAUGUUCACUGCUUCUCCGCAGCAUCCUGGCUAACAGCAAGAGGGUACUACACAGUGGUGCUGCACGCUAUCAAUAUAUUAUAUAUUACACCCAGCCAUUAGGUUGCUGCUCAAGUUUGGUCCAACCUGUCCAGCCGGGUAUCGCGAUUAAACCUAUCAAGAGGGUCCCCGCUCCUACACGCGAGCCUCUCCGCUGUCAUUUGUCCCCUGUGCCGCUGGAUGGCAAUGCCGGCUAAAGUAUCGCCGUGCUUUCGCGGCCGGUACAGAGACCAGGCAGAGGAGGAGGAGGAAGACGGGAGGAGAAGCAGCCUUCUUCCUGCCGUCAUGCAGAGUCUGGCACAGUCCAGCCAGAAGAGAUUGCCUGCAGGAGAGAGUGCUCUGGUCCUCCAGGAAGGGGGGAAAGCAGCCUGGCAGCAGCAGCCUUUUCCAAGCACAGGAACAGAAGGAAGGCAGAAAAAAAGCCACCCUCAACAGCAGUUUAAGGGUUGAGUUUGACCCCACGCUCACCCACUCAAUUAGCAACCGCCUUUUGCAACCAACAUUGGCCUUCCAAAAUGAAGCAGCACCACUUCCCCUCUGUGCAGGAAGAGCACAAAAUGGAGGUAAGAAAAAGAGCUUCAUCAUGUUGAGAUGAAGACUAUCCUCCCACCGUUUAUGCUGCCAGGAGAGGGAUUUCCAGGAACACAGGGAAAGGCUUUACUUCUGGGGAGGCUCCACAUGAGCACAGGGCUAUUAACAAAGCCCAGGUUCCUUAAUAGGCCUAAAAGAAGAUUAAGAAGCAGCUUAUUCUCAAGUUUUGAAACACAACCCGCAAUGUGCAAGACCAGGCAGGGGUUAAGACAUGCCCAUAUCCAUCAGGGAAGCAGGCUGCAAGGCAGAUGUCUUAGGUCCUUACACAGGACAAGUUCCCUGAUUUAAAUACCUUUCUUUUUUCUCUAGGGUUAUUUUUAAGCUUGCUGCCUGACUUCAACAGCGUUCCUUACCAAAAGCUUUGGUGGGGCAACCUGAUACUGCAUGAAGGGAGGGGAAGGGUUGAAACAGAACAAGAAAGGAACAAGGUGAGAAACGUUUUUUAGGACAGGUUCCCCGGGUGUGGGGAGCUGUGGCCUUAGGGGCCAGAUUUACCUGGACAACAGAGGCUGUCCUGGAAGAGCUGGUGAAAGGAGUAAUAAACACUCCAGGUGGGAAACAAAGGGAGGGCAACCACCCACCCAUAAAUAUGGGCAGGGCAGACCUGCAUCUACAUUGCCUACAGCUGGGGCCAUCUGUCUAGAGGCAGGGAAGGGUGUCAGGAGGGGAGGGCCUGCUCCAGGUUAGCAAGGUUAAGUGUGAAGCAGGUGAUGCUGCCUCUGGGGCAAGUGAUAGCCUGUCUGCAUUUGCAUGCCAUAUUUUUCCAGUGACACUUAGCACACAGAGUGUGUGUGUUUUCAGCAUAGCUCCAAAUAAACACCACGCCCCUCAGACAUGCACAUCUCUUACAUGUUUUGAAAUAAAUGCCUGCAGCUGGAAGACAGGAAAGGGGAAAAAGACUUAGGAGAUUCAUUUCUGCAUAGCCCAUUUAUAGCGGGACCUGUGACAGAGUAAAUCUCAAAACUGAGGCUGGUUAGGUUUCCUUCCUCUCUGUCCAGCUGUCUCACCCUUAGGCAACUCGCUUAAUUCCUUUGUGUCCCAGUUAUCUUGCAGAUACAGAAUAAAUAACACCAUCUACCUCAC